GUUGUGGCUCAGUGGUAGAGCAUCUGCUUUGCAUAUAAAAGGUCUUCAGUUCAAUUCCAGGCAUCUACA